AAAAAAACAACAAUAAACGAAACCUGUUUAUUUAUAGUAGGUGUCACAUGCCAAUGUCACGUAGAUGACAUCACUAAUUAUAAUGUGCUUUUUAUACUUUUCAGCGGAAACAUCUGAAUUGAACAGAUGGAUAAUCCUAGUGUCAUUCUUUCUCUAUAUAUAAAUGAAUAUAAGCGAAGUGCUAUUUCACCACAAACUUACGAGGGCCGACUGUUAAUAAUUAAGUUAUUCAAUAUGGUAGUGAUUACCUAAGGAGGGAAAUGACUACGAAUGAGUUCAAGCCUUCACCUAUAAGCUCAGUGUCCUCAGAGUCCCCAACGACCUCUGAUCCCACAUCUUCCAGCUCAGAAGAAGAGACACACCUCAUUCAGCCAGGCAAACGGAAAAACUACGGAAACACACGUGAUGUCUAUGAAUUGGU
rnacentral:sRNA from 1 species